rfam:Schistosoma margrebowiei strain Zambia genome assembly, scaffold: SMRZ_scaffold0005140
AUCCAGAUGAUGAGUUUUAAAUAGGACGAAACGAGCGUCCUGGAU